GCCGCGAUAGCUCAGAUGGUAGAGCAGAGGACUGAAAAUCCUUGUGUCGGCAGUUCAAUUCUGCCUCGCGGCA
rnacentral:tRNA from 1 species